UGGUGGCGAGUGGCGAACGGGUGAGUAACAUAUCGGAACGUGCCCUGGAGUGGGGGAUAACUAGUCGAAAGAUUAGCUAAUACCGCAUACGAUCUACGGAUGAAAGUGGGGGAUCGCAAGACCUCAUGCUCGUGGAGCGGCCGAUAUCUGAUUAGCUAGUUGGUGGGGUAAAGGCCUACCAAGGCAUCGAUCAGUAGCUGGUCUGAGAGGACGACCAGCCACACUGGGACUGAGACACGGCCCAGACUCCUACGGGAGGCAGCAGUGGGGAAUUUUGGACAAUGGGCGCAAGCCUGAUCCAGCAAUGCCGCGUGAGUGAAGAAGGCCUUCGGGUUGUAAAGCUCUUUUGUCAGGGAAGAAACGGUGAGGGCUAAUAUCCCUUGCUAAUGACGGUACCUGAAGAAUAAGC
rnacentral:rRNA from 1 species